AUCUGAGUUGUAUCUGCCUUGAGGUCAACUGAAACUCCACCUAAUGAGUGUAUGAAAGUCAGCAUUGGGAAAGCUUCCUGUAACUCAGGCAUGAAAAACACACAGGAUAAAUGGCAAAGCUGAGCAUAACUGAGAAAUAAAAAUGCUAGAGGUGAAAUUAGGAUGAAUUUUACUCCUUUUUUUGAUAAAACUAAGAAUGAGAAAAACUUGUGUUUUGUUGCAGGAACUAACGGCAUCACACCCAAGCAAGGUUAUCUUGUGGCACGAUGUCCUAGAGAAGACUUAAUGGAAGGCAGAAGCAGGAUGGAGAGUUCUGACAGCAGCAGAUGUCCCCGUCCCAGCGAGUGGUAGGAAGGACGUUACCUCUGAUGCAUACAUAAGACAGGAGUGGAUUGGAUGCCAGCCCGUUCAAGGAGUUGAUGAGCAGUUUGGACCUUACAGGAGCGAUAUAUUUUUAGCGCACACAACACCGUGUGCUGCUGGAGCUUUGCAUUUUUGAGCCCAUCUGUGCAAAGACAAUUGGCUGUGUGUUCAGGGCACUGAAGGCAGAUGAUGUAGCAGAAACAUGUUCUGAUCUCGCCGUGCUGCUCAGCUAAGCUAACGAAGAAGGUACUUGCAUAAAAAACGCUUUCUCGUAGUCAGAAAAGGCAUGCAAAACAGGCAGGCCUGAGAUCCGUUACAGGUGUGUGGAGUCCUGCUGUGCUUAAUCGAGCUGGUUUUGUGUUAUUCCCUCUCAAAUGGAGAUCAAAUCUGGGAGAGAUCCAAUGAGAACAGUGCCUGUCCUGGCCUUUACAUGGCAGACACGUACCCGUGCAGAGAAAAGCCUGGUG